rnacentral:tRNA from 1 species
UCCCUUCUAGCUUAUGAGUUUAAAGCGUUAGUUUGAAGAGCUGAAGUUACAGAAAUGUGGUGGGAA